ACUCAAAGGAAUAGACGGGGGCCCGCACAAGCGGUGGAGCAUGUGGUUUAAUUCGACGCAACGCGAAGAACCUUACCAGCUUUUGACAUGGACAUUGGGGAGGUCAGAGAUGAUUUCUUUCAUUUAGUUGGGUGUCACACAGGUGCUGCAUGGCUGUCGUCAGCUCGUGUCGUGAGAUGUUGGGUUAAGUCCCGCAACGAGCGCAACCCUCGCCUUUAGUUGCUACCAUUUAGUUGAGCACUCUAAAGGAACUGCCCGUGAUAAGCGGGAGGAAGGUGGGGAUGACGUCAAGUCCUCAUGGCCCUUACGGGCUGGGCUACACACGUGCUACAAUGGUUGCUACAAUGGGAAGCUAUCCUGAGAGGGUGAGCGAAUCCUUUAAAAGCAAUCUCAGUUCGGAUUGAGCUCUGCAACUCGAGCUCAUGAAGUUGGAAUCGCUAGUAAUCGUGGAUCAGCAUGCCACGGUGAAUACGUUCCCGGGCCUUGUACACACCGCCCGU
rnacentral:rRNA from 1 species